rnacentral:rRNA from 1 species
GAUGAACGCUGGCGGCGUGCCUAAUACAUGCAAGCCGAGCGAACAGACGAGGAGCUUGCUCCUUUGACGUUAGCGGCGGACGGGUGAGUAACACGUGGGUAACCUACCUAUAAGACUGGGAUAACUUCGGGAAACCGGAGCUAAUACCGGAUAAUAUUUCGAACCGCAUGGUUCGAUAGUGAAAGAUGGCUCUGCUAUCACUUAUAGAUGGACCUGCGCCGUAUUAGCUAGUUGGUAAGGUAACGGCUUACCAAGGCAACGAUACGUAGCCGACCUGAGAGGGUGAUCGGCCACACUGGAACUGAGACACGGUCCAGACUCCUACGGGAGGCAGCAGUAGGGAAUCUUCCGCAAUGGGCGAAAGCCUGACGGAGCAACGCCGCGUGAGUGAUGAAGGUCUUCGGAUCGUAAAACUCUGUUAUUAGGGAAGAACAAACGUGUAAGUAACUGUGCACGUCUUGACGGUACCUAAUCAGAAAGCCACGGCUAACUACGUG